CACGUAGGGCGCAAGCGUUGUCCGGAAUUAUUGGGCGUAAAGAGCUCGUAGGCGGUCUGUUGCGUCCGCUGUGAAAACUCGGGGCUUAACCCCGAGCCUGCAGUGGAUACGGGCAGACUAGAGGUAGGUAGGGGAGAAUGGAAUUCCCGGUGUAGCGGUAGAAAUGCGCAGAUAUCAGGAGGAACACCGGUGGCGAAGGCGGGUCUCUGGGCCGAUACUGACGCUGAGGAGCGAAAGCGUGGGGAGCGAACGGG
rnacentral:rRNA from 1 species